UCCCUGUUGCCAGGGCAGUCUAGCCAGAGAAAUCCAACUGACUAUAAGGGUUGCGCUCGUUGAUGGACUUAACCAAACAUCUCACGACACGAGCUGACGACGGCCAUGCAUCACCUGUCAUCGGGUUCCCGAAGGCACAGCUUUCUUUCGAAAGCCUUCCCGAGAUGUCAAACCUGGGUAAGGUUCUUCGCUUAUCAUCGAAUUAAACAACACGCUCCACCGCUUGUGCGGGUCCCCGUCAAUUCCUUUAUGUUUUAAGCUUGCGCUCGUACUCCACAGGCGGGAUGCUUAACGCGUUAGCUUCGCUACUACCAGGGUCGAUACUGAUAACAGCUAGCAUCCAUCGUUUACGGCGUGGACUAC
rnacentral:misc_RNA from 1 species